UAAUUGUCGUAUACAGAGUCAUUCUACCCUCGCGAAAUUCCACGGUCUGAAAGUGGCAGCGCGUGGUCGUCGUUGUUCGUUCGUUCGUUCAUUCGUUCUUUCGUUCUUUCGUACGUAAGAAAAUUCAAGUAUUACGGGGAAAAAUCGAGGAAGUUUCGUCGAUAUAUCGUUAGAUUUGUUUGACAGUGUCGACGGGGGUCGUGUUUAAAACGAGUGAUUAUAAUAUCUCGUAUAUAUCCUCCGUGUGCAUUAUUAUUACCAACAAAACUAUUCUCCCCUCGCAUUCACUCACAUUCACUUACUCAUUUUAUCUCUUUUUCUCUCGCUCUCUCACUCUCUUUCUCUCUCCCUCCCUCUCUCUUUCUCUUUCUAUUUGGAGUGAGGGGAAUGAAUAUAUGUAUUUGAUCGUAUGUAAAACGCGCGUGUGUUUUUAUAUGCUCGACGAAAAUCUUAGUUGGAUUAGUAACCAAUCGAAGCUCGAAGUCGUCUCGCCUUAUCGUGUUUUUGACUUUCUCUCUACUCUUGCUUUGGCUCUGUGGCAUAUUCGUCGUCCGGAUCGAAGUCGUCCAAGUUGGCACGAGGUUGGUCUAUUGGACGUUGUUGGGUGCGGCGGCGGCGGUGACAGUGACUGUGCCACCGAUACUGACCACUACGAUAUCAUAUAGCAUUGACAACGACGACAACGAUAACAACAACGACACGACACGACACGACACGACACGACACGACAUUUGACGAUAUUUGACGAUAGUUGACAACAUUUGACGAUAACGACAUUACGAUUAAUACGACGACAAAAACAAUAACAACAACACACACAUAAACAAAGUGACUAGAAGGAAGCCGGAGAAGUUCAACUACUGUGCUUCUCUCUUUCAUUUGUAUUCUAACUGAUACGAGUAAGAGAGAGAGGAACGAGGAGAAGGGGUGGGAGGAUAAACGAAGAGUGAGUGUUGUUGCGUGAAAGAGAAAGAGUAAGAGAGAGAAGGAUAGCAAGCGAACGGGUACGAGAAAGAGAGAGACAGGAACGGGUCAUGAAUAGAUAAAAGAAGCAAAGAAAGGUGUUUCCUGGAAAAAAAAGAAAACUUACAUUAGUAUAUUUAUACGUGUGUAUAUGUGCGGGUUGUAUAAAUGUUUAGGUUGACGCGUUAAUGUUUCGUAAUUGUUUGAGUCUUCCUCCUUUUUGGUUGAAAAAUCAUUCACAAAUAUCGGUCUUCGUCGUAAGAAGAACGUGUGCCGUGCAACCUGUUGUUUUCUCAGCGCGCUCGUGUUUUUGUGCAUCGCUACUCUUCUUCAGCUACUCGGAAUCUUGUUUCUACGGAUGCAAGAACGAGUACCCUCGUGAUACCGAGGUCGAGUUAACGGCCGACUUAACCUUGCUAUCGUUGAUCAAAAAACAAGAAAGAACAACGUACAUCAUCGUUACGAGACGCCUUCAGGAUGAACGG
rnacentral:lncRNA from 1 species